rnacentral:rRNA from 1 species
UACGUAGGGCGCAAGCGUUGUCCGGAAUCAUUGGGCGCAAAGCGCGUGUAGGCGGCUGGCUAAGUCCGCUCUGAAAGCCCGGGGCUCAACCCCGGGAGGCGGGUGGAUACUGGUCAGCUCGAGUCCGGAAGAGGGAUGUGGAAUUCCAGGUGUAGCGGUGAAAUGCGUAGAUAUCUGGAGGAACACCGGUGGCGAAGGCGGCAUCCUGGACCGGUAUUGACGCUGAGGCGCGAAAGCCAGGGGAGCAAACGGG